UUAAACUCCUAGUAAAACCAGAAAUGGAUCAAACUGCUAUGUAAUGGGAGUCUUACUUCCAUCACUGGAGAAACACCCUCCUUUAAGAAGUCACCUUUACUCAUUUAACCUAAUCUAGAUAGUUGUUAUACCUAUUAGUUUGUUAAGCAUGAUCUACCUAUGACACCUUCACAAACUGCAAACACAGAUAAGCAUUUUAAAUAUAUAUUACUAUUGAUUUGAACUUGCUGUGUGCAUAUCUAUAGACAUCUAAAAUGCACAAUGUGUAAUCCAGGUAUUGUAACUGUAGCACUUUAGAGCAGAGUUUAAUAUCAGACAGGAACAUUAAUCUCCUUAUUCUACGCACAUUUAUUAAUACAAAAAAUGCUUUACUAGUUAAAUUGCCUUGAGAUGCUUCUGUUAACUGCUACAUACUAUCGGUUAUUAAUUUGGUUUAUUUAAAACAAUUAAAUAUACACAACCCACACAAUGAAAUGACAAAGUACAGUGGGUGGUUAAAGAUAAGACCCUUCCAGCUGGAGGCAACUCUGUCUGAAUGUGACAUCAUUUUUUUUUUUUUUUUUUUUUUUUCAAUCUCCAUUAGAUACUGCAGGAAACAACUGGAGAUUCGUCACAGUAAAUCAAAAUCAUUAAGCCUUGUGGUGGGUGUUAAUAGCCAAGUUCAGGGAAUGAUUAGUACAUCAUUGAAAUAAUGACAGAAUAAAUUCCUGGUGAUUCCUAAUGCUGGGUCGCUCUGCUUUUUUGUUCCUCAGAUAGGGGCAAAGAGAUAUGACUUCCAGCUUUGACAUACAACACUGCCAUCAAUCAAGGGUCUCCACAUUUCUUACAGCACAGCACCCAUUUUCUUUUUAAAUCAGAGGGAAAAAUGGUGCGCCGCUCCCUGGGAGCUCCAGUCCACGGUCAGCAAUGGAAUAUCCUGGACCCGAACUGGCAAGCUGCAGGCGACAGAGCGCAUCCUGCACUCCAUCAGGGAAAAUAUUUAAUACUGCAGAAUUGGAACAGGCUAAUUCCACAGGUUCUACAAGUGCAGACAGCGUUUCAAUAUAGGUCUAUAUAUUAAAAAAGUAGAGGUGUGAUGUGUAGACUUAAAUUCAAAUACCGUUGUACACUUUUAACAAUAAUAAUACUGCCUUAGAAAUACCUGA